rnacentral:lncRNA from 1 species
AACAACCUUGGCUUGAAUCCAAACUCGAACUAUUUGAGGUUGUACGGACCUUAAUCGGGGUGUUCUCAAUUGAGAGCACCUAGAUUAAGGUCUAUUAGACCUCAAUCUCCUAUUGAUUUUUAACCGAACCUCAAUUUUGGAUUUCUAGGGUUCACGCGGAUGAUUUGGGAAUUUGGGUUUUCUGGUUGGAUUCGAUUCAAAUCAAUGAUGAUUUGGUGAUUAGGAAGGUUAGGGGGUGCCGUGGUGUGAAUUUGGAAAGGAUUGGGGGUAAGUUUCCAUUUGGCUCGAAUCUUCAAGUAAAGAUUUGAGAUGCUCUGAAAAGAUUCGAGCAAAAUGGUUUGCAGCUCCAUGUUUGGGGUGGCUAGACGGUCACAGGGUGUUAGUUUGGGAUUCAUUGGUCUGGGUCUGGUUUUGACUCAGAUCUUCAAAUAAAGAUUCGAGAUAUUUGGGGAGGAUUCGAAGAGAAAGGGUUAUGGAUUCAUGGAGGGGAUGGUCUGGGGAUUCAGGUGUGUUAAUUUGGAGGUGGUCGGAUUUCAGGCCGCCGGGAUUAAUGGCGGAGUAUAAGGGGGCGGAGCUAGGGUUUAGUGAGGGAGGGGACUGUUUCUGAGAGAGACGAUGAACAAGGAGGUCUGGUUUGGGAGGGAGGCUGGGUUGAGACAAAGGUUAUAUAGGGAGGGAAGUGAUUUGAUCCUGGCCGUUGGAUCAAACAUGAUCAAUAGCUUGGAUCCUUUCAUUUAAGGGGACGACGUCAUUUGGUUAUACUUUUGAGACUGGAUUGGUUUCAGAUGGGAACGGGUAGGGUAUAGAUGAAAGCUUGAGGCCAUUGGAUAAAGUGGCAUGAACGACUUGGAUUAGAUGCACUAAAACAGCGUCGUUUCGUUUAAUGAACGAACUUAACUGGAGCGUUAGAUAGGAUUGAUCAACGGUCCAGAUGAAAGGCAUAGAAACGACGUCGUUUCAUUGUCUGUGAGACUAAGUUGAAGUGGACCGAGUCAGUAAUAGAUUGGGCUUGGAUUUGGGGCUGUUUUUGGACGGCCCAAAUCAAUUUUGUCUCUUAUUUUUCUCCCUUCUUUUCUUUUCCUUUAUUUUUUCUAAUUAAAAAAUUCCUAAUUAAUUUAUAACAUCAAAAAUUUAAAUUACAAAUAUUAACUAUCCUUUAACAACAAUUAACACACAAGUUAAAAUAUUUAAUUAAAAAUAAAAUAACACAAUGGCACAUUUAAAUGGCAAAAAUAAAUAAAUGCAUAUUUUUGUGAUUUCUAUUUUUAAAAAACCAAAUUAUACACAAUGACACACUUAAAUGGAAAAAAUAAAAUAAAUACAUAUUUUUGUGAUUUUUUUUUUUUAAAAAAAACCAAAUUAUGGUUUAAAUAAUUCCUAAUUCACAAUUAAAUCCUAAAUAUGCAUGCAAAAUGUAUUUUUGUAUUUUUAUUAAUUUAGACAAGAUAAAUAUUCACAACAAAAAAUAUAAAUAAUAUUCUAAAAAUUGUAGACUAAAGAAUUUUAUUUUAUGUUUUUGAUUUCUUUUGGAGUAAUUUUCGUGAAGCAAAAAUCACGUGCUCACAGCUGCCCCUCUNNNNNNNNNNNNNNNNNNNNNNNNNNNNNNNNNNNNNNNNNNNNNNNNNNNNNNNNNNNNNNNNNNNNNNNNNNNNNNNNNNNNNNNNNNNNNNNNNNNNNNNNNCCCCAAAACACGAAGAGUUUUCGUGCAAAUAUAAAGUGAGCGGAUACGAGCGAUUUUUGCCUGUUGGAAUACUCUAUGUGAAGCAUUUUUUGAAAAGAUUUAUCCGAACCUUUGCUUCGAAGGUUUCCGACAUAUCCCUGGCUAAAAAGGAAUCAUGUUAAUGUAGUUCGGGAAGUUUUGGUGGCUGGGACUACCAUGGGACUGGGAUUUUGCUGUUACUGUUGCUGCAUGCAGUUGCUACUGUUUACUGGUCUCCUUAUUACACCGUACUAAUAAGAAAAUAAGAAGUUAAGCUAAAUUACGGAUCAUAAGAUCUUAUCUAUCUUUCACGUGUCAUUGGUGCCUUGCUUUUUUGUUGACUUGUGUUUCUCCCGGUGCUUCUCUCUUCCAAAAACUGUUGGGGAUGAUAUCGACCUUUUGCUUUCCUGAAGCCAAGUUUUAUCAUCUCGUCGCAUCUGCUGGGAUACUUUUUCUUUAAUUAAAGCUUGUUAUGCUGGGGAUUCUUGUUGCAACCCUUGGUAUUAUUGACUUCUGAUUUGAUCUUAAAAUGUAUUCCUCUAUUUUGCAGGCGGGCUCCUGACUGCGAUAACUUGCAAUCAAUACCUCAGUUCUACAGCGGGCUCCCGAUUGCGAAAUCUUGAAAUUAACACCUCAGUUCUACGGGCGGGCUCCCGAUUGCAAAUAGCUUGAAAUUAACACCUCCUUUUCUACGGGUGGGCUCCCAACUACAACAACUUGAAAUUAACACCUCCGUUCUACGGGCGGGCUCCCGACUGCAAUAACUUGAAAUUGACACCUCCGUUCUACGGGCGGGCUCCCGACUGCAAUAACUUGAAAUUAACACCUCCGUUCUACGGGCGGGAUCCCGACUGCAAUGACUUAAACAUAACAACCUCCAUUCUACAUACGGGCUCCUGACUUCAUCAAUAACUUUAAAAUUUCACAAUCUCCAUUCUACAGGUGGGCUCCUGACUUCUUCAAUUUAAAAACAACAACCUCCGUUCUAAUAGGCAGGCUCCUGACUUCUACUUCAACUAAAAUAUAACAACCUCCUUCUACAGGUGGGCUCCUAACUUCUUCAAUUUAAAAACAACAACCUCCAUUCUAACAGGUGGGCUCCUAAUUUCAACUUCGACUUAAAACAUAACAACCUCCAUUCUACACGCAGGCUCAUGACUUCUUCAAUUUAAAAACAACAACCUUCGUUCUUACAGGUGGGCUCCUGAUUUCAACUUCGAUUUAAAACAUAACAACCUCCAUUCUACAGGCAGGCUCCUGACUUCUUCAAUUUAGAAAUAACAACCUCCGUUCUAACAGGAGGGCUCCUGAUAUCAACUUCGACUUAAAACAUAACAACCUCCAUUUUACAGGCGGGCUCCUGACUUCUUCAAUUUAAAAACAACAACCUCCGUUCUAACAGGGGGGCUCCUAAUUUCAACUUCGACUUAAAACAUAACAACCUUCAUUCUACAGGCGGGCUCCUGAUUUCCAUAACUUGAGAUAAAAAUAACAACCUCUGUUUCAAUAAGCGGGCUCCUGAUUUCUUCAUCAACUUGAAAUGGGUUCUAUCUUUCUUUGAAAUCUUCUGGGGAUAAUGCUUGCUGGGUAAUUAUCCUCCUUAUUUAAAACUUGUUAUUUUCCUUUUUUUUCAAUGGUGGGCAUGAUACCGAUUCAAGGACCACUACCCUUAAAACUUAGGCUAUCUUGCUUAUGCCAAGAUUGAUUUCUUGUAUUGCCUUCUCCCCUAAACUGCUAGUGAUUCCACUUCCUUCAAAAUUGUUUUCCUUUAUAACUUGCAUUGAUUUUCUCGUAGCUCCGAGAAAAUUUUCGACUGUGGGAGAAAAUUUUCUGCCAUAGUUCUGGCGCUCUUUCUUUCUGCCAACAUCAUCAUUUCAUUUUCCUGUUUCAAAUCAAAGAAAAAUUUGUUAGUUUUAAAAAUGUGGCGAGUGAUUAUGUCGCUCCUACUGUGAAUGAUUGUUCCUUUCCGUUGUCCUGUCUUGCGUUCCCACAACUGACUGGGGAUGACGUCAUUUACUGGGGAUGGUUUGUUCAUUUAUCCCUUCCCAUUCCGUGUUUCAAAACUUGCUGGGAUUAUUUUGCUGAAGAUGAAUUUCCCUUUCUUCCUUCCCCAUUCUGUGUGGUCCGACCACCUCGAACUUGGUCGAUAAGAGAUCAGAGUUCUUCUAGGGAUACUUUUGGAACUUGGCCCAGAAUUUCCUCCACAUGCCAUCUUUCGAUUCUUCUCCACACUUUCCUUGACCUUUUAACUCAAUACAUUAUUCAGCCUUGCAACAAGUGUCCUUUGCCUUAUCGCCUUUUCUUUGGCCUUUCCUCUUCAUAUUUUGCUUUGUACCAUUUGACAACUGGUAGUAAGCUCUGAAAUAACUUUCUCAAAACAAAUUUCUAGAAAAGACUUUUAUCCAAAGGAAAGAAAAGAUAGAAAAAGAGAAAAAUUUUCCGAACAAAUGCUGGGAAAAGAAAAAGGAACUGGCAUAACCGAUCCCAACGAUCAUGUCGUGCAUUCCGGAUUAAUCAACCCAGUCUAUUUUUAUUAAUCAAUCUUUUUGAUGUCUUUACUUGCUGGGGAUAAACAGGUACCUAAUUCUUCGCAAAGUGCGGAUCCUUUUCGUCAAUCUCAUCUCGUCGCCUCAUAAUGCCCUUCGAGGGGUUUUCAAUAAUAAGACUCUCUCAUUUCUCUCAACUCCCGCCGCCUUAUGGUGCCUGUGAAGGUUUUCACCGAUAAGACUCUCUCAUUUUCUUAUCUCACCUUACGUCGCCUUAUGGUGCCCGUGAAUGUUUUUACCGAUAAGACUCUCUCAUUUUGCUUCUCUCAACUAGGGAUUGGAGUGUUGCCGGUAAGAUUCUCACUGCCGAGAAUUCUUAUGGCUAUCAAUUCUCUCAGCGCAUGACCCUCAUUUUGUCGGAGCCCAGUGUGUUUUUCUCAGCUUUCAUUUGCCUGCCUUGGAACUUAUCGAAUGCUGAUCAGGAAGUCUUUUUUGGACAUCAAUGUGGUUUUAUAUGGGGUUUAAUAGACAAGGAAAUAGAAUUCAAAAUAACUUGACAGGCGAAACAUUACAACUCUUAAAAUCAAAACUCUUUUUCAAAAUUAAAAACAAAACUUCUGCCCCAUACUGCUUGGGGAAUUCUUGAUUUUUGUUACAUCAUGACCGAGCCGUGAGGCGCCUACGUAUCCUCUUUGAGGAAUCAGGUCGAAUGUAGUUCACAAUCCUUUGUUUUUCUUGUGACUUUCCUUUUUACUUUUAUUAUUACUCUCUUUUUCAUUUUUUGUUUUCGUUAAGGAUUUCAAGAGAGGGGUACGAAAGAAUAAGUAAGGCUCAAAGGGGUAAAGCAAAGGUUAGAAGUGGUUGAGUAGAAGAAAGAAUUGCCUCCGUAAUUUCAUUAUUUGAUAAACACCAAGUACAAACAAGCAAAUAAACAAACCCAAAUUAUAAUCAACAAAUUACACAUAAUAUCUCUUAACUGCAUCAGAAUUGAUAGCCAUGUCGAUGUAUCUUCCUUCGACAUCUUCCAGACACAAAGCGCCAUUGGAUAACACUCGGGUCACAAUAUACGACCCCUGCCAAUUCUGGGCGAAAUUGCCUUUUGCCUCGAUCUGAUAUGGUAGGAUCCGUUUCAAUACUUGCUGCCUACUUCAAAUUUCCUGGGGAGCACCUUCUUAUUGUAUGCUCUUGGCAUUCACAUUUAAUACAGUUGGCCAUGACAUAUUGCUGCCAAUCAUUUUUCAUCAAUUAAGCUUAGCUGCUCUACUCGGGCUUUGACCCAUUCAUCAUCAUCGAUCCCGACCUCAGCGACAAUUCAAAGGGAUGGAAUUUCAACUUCUGCUGGUAUUACUGCUUCACUUCCGUAUACCAACAAGUAAGGAGUUGCACCAACUGAAGUCCGGACAGUAGUGCAAUAACCCAACAAUGCAAAUGGCAACUUCUCAUGCCAUUGUCUAGACCCUUCUACCAUCUUCCUCAGUAUCUUCUAUAUGUUCUUGUUAGCUGCUUCAACUAUUUGCCUUGGGACGAUAUGGGGUGGAAUUACGGUGUGUAGUCUUGAACUGUUGACAUACUUCUUUCAUCAAACUACUGUUAAGAUUAGCACCAUUAUCCGUGAUGAUCACCUUUAGGAUCCCAAAUCUACAGAUGAUAUGGGAAUGAACAAAAUCCACCACUGCCUUAUUGGUUACCGACUUGAAAAAUCCCAAAUCUACAGAUGAUAUGGGAAUGCACGAAAUCCACCACUGCCUUCUUGGUUAUUGACAAAAUCUUGUCCUCAACCCAUUUUAUGAAAUAAUCAAUGGCUACCAUGAUGAACCUGUGACCGUUUGAAGCUGCCGGCUCAAUAGGCCCAAUGACAUCCAUGCCCCAUGCAACAAAUGGCCAAGGUGCUGACAUUGUGUGCAAUUCUGUUACAAAUCUACAGAUGAUAUGGGAAUGCACGAAAUCCACCACUGCCUUCUUGGUUACUGACUUGAAAGUCUUGUCCUCAACCCAUUUGGUGAAAUAAUCGAUGGCUACCAAGAUGAACCUGUGACUGUUUGAAGUUGUCGGUUCAAUAGGUCCAAUGACAUCCAUGCCCCAUGCCACAAAUGGGCAUGGCGCUGAUAUUGUAUGCAAUUCUAUUGGUGGGGAAUGAAUCGGAUCCCCAUGUACCUGACACUGAUGGCACUUCCGUACGAAAUUGAUACAAUCAUGCUCCAUCGUAAGCCAAUAAUAUCCUGCUCAUAAAAGCUUCUUUGCCAAUACAUAUCCGCUCAUAUGGGGCCCACAAACUCCAGCAUGUACCUCUAUCAUUAUUGUCAUGGCCUAACUAACAUCUAUACAUCUCAGCAAUCCAAAAUCUGGGGUUCUUUUGUACAACACUCCCCCACUGAGGAAAAAUCCAUCGGCCAACCACCGAAUGGCUCUCUUUUGAUCUUCGGUUUCCUGCUCUGGGUAUGUCCCCAUCCUGAGGUACUCUUUGACAUCAUAAAACUAUGGCUCACCAUCCAUUUCUUCCUCUAUCAUGUUGCAAUAAGCAUGCUGAUCACGAACCUGAAUAUGCAACGGGUCAACAUGAAUCUUGUACGGGUGGUGCAACAUUGAUGCUAAGGUGGCCAAAGCAUUAGCAACCUCAUUAUGAACUCUCGGGAUGUGUCUGAACUCCACUGAUCAAAAUCGCUUGCUAAGAUCGUGCAAGCAUUGCCAAUAUGGUAUAAGCUUUAAAUCCCGUGUUUCCCAUUCACAUUGAAUUUGAUGUACCAGAAGGUCCGAGUCUCCCAAGUCGAAGACAUCCUGAACAUCCAUAUCCGCAGCUAACCGUAAGCCCAGAAUGCAUGAUUCAUACUCAGCCAUGUUAUUGGAAUAAUAGAAACGCAGCUGAACUGUAACAUGAUAAUGAUGUCGUGUUUCAAAAAUAAGUACUGCUCCUAUUCCAACUCCUUUCACAUCCACAGUCCCAUCGAAGAAAAGCUUCAACCUUGGCUCCUCAGUAGGUUCUAACUCUUCUAUAUGCAUCACUUCUUUAUCUGGAAAAUACGUCCUCAAUGGUUUCAUAUUCUUCAUUAACAGGAUUCUCAGACAAGUGAUCGGCCAGUGCUUGGGCUUUCAUGGCCGUCCUCGUCACAUAUAUGAUGUCGAACUCUGUGAGCAAUAUCUGCCAUUUCGCCAAUCUCCCUGUGGGCAUAUGUUUCUGGAAAAUAUACUUCAGCGGAUUUAGGCGUGGAAUGAGGUAAGUAGUAUAUGACGACAGAAAAUGCUUAAACUUUUGUGCCACCCAAGUUGGGGCGUAUCAUGUCUUCUCAAGUUGAGUGUACUUAACCUUAUAGACUGUAAACUUCUUGCUUAGAUAAUAGAUGGCCUGCUCUUUUCUUCCUGUGAGAUCAUGUUGCCCCAGUACGCAACCAAAUGAAUUCUCCAGUAUUUUUAGAUAGAGAAUCAACAGUUUUCCUGGUUUAGGUGGGACCAACACGGGUGGAUUUGAUAGAUACCCCUUGAUUUGGUCGAAGGCUUCUUGACAUUCCGUUGUCCAUUCUAUCGCAUCAUCUUUCUUCAAUAGCCGAAAAAGGGUUCACAUGUCGUUGUGAGCUGAGCGAUGAACCUGCUGAUGUAGUUCAUCCUUCCCAACAGACUCAUUUCCUCUGUUUUGUUCCUUGGCGGCGGCAAUUCCUGGAUGGAUUUGAUCUUUGAUGGGUCCAACUCAAUGCCUCGCCGACUGACGAUGAAUCCCAACAACUUUCUAGAUGGAACACCAAAUGCACAUUUGGCCUGAUUGAGCUUGAUUUCGUAUCUUCGAAGUCUUUGAAAAAACUUCCUAAGGUCUGCUACAUGAUUUUCUUGACACUUGGAUUUGUUGAUCACAUCAUCUAUGUACACCUCAAUCUCUUUGUGCAUCAUGUCAUGAAACACAGUAGUCAUUUUUCUCAUGUACGUUGCUUUAGAAUUCUUCAAACCAAAUGGCAUUACUCGGUAGAAAUAAGUUCCCCACGGAGUAAUGAAAGCCGUCUUUUUUGUGUCUUCAUCAUCAUGAGGAUCUGAUGAUACCCGACAUAGCAAUCUACAAAGGAUCCGAUCUCACUCCCAGCGCAAUUAUCGAUUAAGAUAUGGAUGUUGGGUAGUGGAAAGUUGUCUUUUGGGCUUGCCGUGUUCAGAUUGUGGUACAUACCCUGGUCUUCCCAUCUUUCUUCGGUACUGGUACCACAUUGGCCAACCAAUCGGGAUAUCGAGUGACCCGAAUAACCUUUGCCUGCAACUGCUUGGUCACUUCUUCCUUAAUCUUCACACUCAUGUCUAUCUUGAACUUCCUUAAUUUCUUCUUGACGGGAGAGCAUGCCGGGUCAGUGGGUAAUUUGUGAACCACUAAAUCUAUGCUUAAACCCGACAUGUCAUCAUACGACCAUGCAAAAAUAUCUUUGAAUUCGAUGAGUGCUUUGAUUAGUUCCUCCAAGAUGUUCGGCUCAAAAUGGAUGCUGAUUUUGGUUUCCCUGACGUUGUCUGCAUCUCCUAAAUUGACACCUUCAGUGUCGUUUAAAUUAGGCUUAGGUUUUUCUUCGAAAUGACUUAAUUCUCUAUUAUCUCUUCAAAGGCCUCAUCUUCCUCGUAUUCUAAUUCAUCAUCAUAAUUGACCUCUUGUGCAAUUAAUUUGGAGUCAGAUUGAUUAUUUAGACUAGGUUGAAGAUCCGUUGUGCAUGCCACGUCAUUGGGACCAGUAAAAAGAGAACUGUUCAGAAAGAAAAAGAAGAAACAAAAUUAAAACAAAAUAAGAAAAGGAAAAUUUCGCUUUUUAUUAAAAUAUGGGAUAACAGAGUUUCAAACUUUUACUGAAUACAAAUAAAACAAAAACGGGAUUACAACUCUCGAAUAAUCCAGGAAACAAGAAAGAAAAUCCAGAGCCUACUACCAAGACUCCCUCCGGGUAGGAAGAUGAGUAUCCGUCCAAUUGUUGACAUUGGCCCUGGGUCCCACAUAUUGUAUGUCUGCUCUAUUGGAACCCUCUCAAGCUUCGGUCAUGUUGACAUCAGCAAACAGUCUUUCAAAACCCUGAUCUAGAUCUCCAUCUGACCCAAUCAACGGUCCAAGAACCUUUGGGACUGACAAUCUUUCAACACCUGCUUUAACGAAAGAUCGGGAGAGACGCAGAACUGGUUUGGGAAGAACCCAAACUUUCUUCUUCAUUUUCCGAGCUCAUUUCACAUCCGCUGCCGUCGGCUUGAAACCUAACCAGAAGGUCUCUAAAUUCUUGGGCAAAGAGACAAGUUCAACGAUACCCUGAAGCUCAGCCCCUAGACCUUUUCCCUUUACAAACCCGCAGGUUAGCAUUUCCGAGGCUACCAUGAAGGUCACAGCUGUGAUCCUGGGAAGUGUAAUGUUCUCAGCUUCAGAAAUCUUGUCCACUGACACCCCGUCAAAAACCUGAUACACCCAUGGCCCUUUAUCAUCAUCGGUUUCUAUGAAUGGUACAAACUCACAACCCACAAUGCUUGUACCGUCAUCCCCGUACAUCACUAUCUCCUGCCUGUCCCACUCAAACUUCACCAUUUGGUGCAAUGUAAAAGGCACUGCUUUGGCGACAUGUAUCCAAGGUCACCCCAACAGGAGAUUGUAUGAUACCGCCACGUCUACCACUUGGAAUUCCAUGGUGAAUUCCACUGGACAAUUGGUUAAUUCCAGUAUGAUAUUACCCACUGUGUUGGUACCACCUCCAUCAAAACCUCAAAUGCAGACAUUGUUCUUGUGAACCCGGUCAUGAUCAAUUUUCAGUUUUUUUAGAGUAGACAAAGUACAAAUGUUGGAACUUGACUCUUUAUCAACCAAUACUCGGGUGACCACCGAGUCUUCACAUUUCACAGUCAAGUAUAAGGCUUUAUUAUGUUCCGUACCUUCCUUUGGCAAUUCAUCAUCGGAGAAUGUCACUCGGUUUAACUCAAUGAUUUUGUGCACUAUCUUCUCCGAGUGAUUUACAGAGAGCUUAUCUAGAACCUGAGCCUCGUUCAGGAUAUUCAUUAGGGCCCGACAAUGAUCAUUUUGGCAAUUCAUCAUCGGAAAAUGUCACUCGGUUUACCUCAAAGAUUUUGUGCACUAUGUUCUCCAAGUGAUUUACAGAGAGUUUAUCUGGAACUGAGCCUCGUUCAGGAUCUUCAUUAGGGCCCGACAAUGAUCACUGGAAUGAAUCAACAAUGAUAGCUAUGAAAUUUGUGCUGGAGUCUUUCGUAACUGCUCCAUAAUGGAGUAGACUUGGGCCUUCAUUUUCUUCAAAAACUCCUCAGCCUCUUCCUCCGUUACGGGCAUCUUCACCACUCCUGGGUUGGACCUCCUCAACUCUACGUGAGCAAAACACCGUCCCGAUCGAGUCAGUCCCUGUGCCUCGCAACUAUCCUCCUCCAUUGGAUUUCCCUUGUACAUCACCAUUGCCUUUUCACAUUUCCAAGGCACGGCCUUGCUAUUAAUCACUGGCAACUGGACUACUGGAUUUAUGAUGACCGGUUUCCUGGAGGCCCCUUUCACAACAACCACAGGGGUGGACGACGCUUCUGAUAUCACUAAUUUGGUUGUCUCUGGCUUUUUUAUAGUGACGGAUGGACUCUUCCCUAAUAUCACCACCGCUUUGACAUCUUCCCUCUUGACAUGUACCUCUGCUCCCCCACUGGUUGAAUUUUCUUUUGGAGUGGCACGGAUCAUCAUCACUGUCUGUGAUGACUUCUUGGGCUCUCCCUCUUCGUGCACAAGUUUAAUCAUGUGGGCUUCGUGGUGUGCUGGCAAUGGGUUUUGGUUAAUGUUAGGUGCUUCUAGUGCCUGAACCCUGAUCUUGUUGGUGUCAAUAAGAUCUUGUAUCGCACACUUUAGUUUCCAACACUUCUCGAUAUCAUGUCCGGGAACUCCUGAACAAUAUUCACAACUUACCGAGCGGUCCAAAUUUUGGGGUAGAGGAUUUGGCAAUCUGGGCUCAAUAGGACUCAACAAACCAAACUUUUUUAAUUUAUGGAAUAAAGUAGUAUAGGUUUCUCCUAAUUUAGUGAAUGUUCUUUGUUUCUGAACCCUUUCAUUUCUGAAAGCUUGAUUCCCUCGAAAACCUGGUCCUGCAGGAUUCCUGUAGGACUUUGGUGGUGGGUAGGUGUUUGGUUGAGGUGAGUAGGUAUUAUGUGGAGCUGGCGCGCGCCAUUGCGGGCGAGCCAGAAGUUGGGUAUAUGCCUGGGCUUGAUGAACGGAAAAAUGUUGUUCUUGUGGUGGGUAAUAGAGUUGUGGAGGAUAAUUUGGAAUGUGUGAGUAAUUUGGGUGAGGGGUAUGGAUUGAUAACGAGGGGAAGGACCUCUAGAUCUAGACCAGUUACCUGCCUCUAUUGUCGCGACCUCUUCUCACUUUUUCUUUCCGAGUGCACCUCCCGUGCCGCUUUGAAUGGCCUGAGUUGUUGCCUUGAUUACCGAGAACUCAAUAUUUUAUCGGACUUGAGUCCCUCUUCUAUCAUGCUUCCCAUUUUCACCACCUCAUUAAUGGAUUUGCCAACUGACGUCACAAAGUGACCGAAGUAAGUUGGCUCAAGAGUUUGUAGAAAGUAAUCCACCAUCUCCCCCUCUCUCAUUGGAGGAUCAACUCUAGCUGCCUGUUCUCUCCACCGGAAUCCAAAUUAUUGAAAGCUCUCACCGGGUUUCUUCUCAAGUUUUAGCAAAGUGAGACGGUCUGGGACUAUCUCAAGAUUGUACUAGAAGUGUCCGGCGAAAGCCUGCGCCAGAUCAUCCCAGGUGUACCAUCUGCUUGGAUCUUGCCUUGUAUACCACUCUAGAGCAGAUCCACUCAAACUCUGGUCGAAGUAAGCUAUCAGUAGCUCAUCUUUGCCUCUUUCUCCUCUCAUCUUGUUAUAAAAACCCCGCAAAUGAGCCAUAGGAUUGCCAUGCCCUUUGUAUAAAUCAAACUUGGGCAUCUUGAACCCCGCACAGACCCACUCAAACUCUGGCCGAAGUAAGCUAUCAGUAGCUCAUCUUUGCCUACUGCUCCUCUCAUCUUGCUACAAAAACCCCACAAAUUAGCCAUAGGAUCGCCAUGCCCUUCGUAUAAGUCGAACUUGGGCAUCUUGAACCCCGCCGGUAAUUAGAUGUCAGGGAAAGGGCAUAGAUCAUUGUAGGGUACGCUGACCUGGUUGCCUAACCCAUGCAUGUUCCUGAAGGACUGCUCCAGGCUUUUAAACUUCCGCAUUACCUCAUCCUGCUCUAGGCUCUUAGCCAGCUUUUCAGUCUCCGCCGGGACCUCAAAGUGGGUACUAUAGGUAUUGUAGAGAUUUUAUCCCCAUGUUCCUGAAGGACUGCUCCAGGCUUUUAAACUUCAGCAUUACCUCGUGCUGCUCUGGGCUUUUAGCCGGCUUUUCAGUCUCCGUCGGGACCUCAAAGUGUGGAUUAUAGGUAGGUGGCUCGGGCGCUUUGAAUGUGAGUUCAGGGGGGGUAAUAUUGUGCAUCGUGAGCUUGAUAUAAUGGCUCACUAGAUGAUCUGUGCAAUGGGGCCGGGGGAGAUGCCACAAAGAUAGGGACAUUUGGUGGGGGAGGGUUUUAAUUGGGUGGUGGAGCUUGUGGGUCAUAUGUAUCCCUUCCCUGAUAGUAGUGAUGACUUGGAAUGUUUGUUGAGAGACCAGAUGAAGGGUAUUCUGGUGUAUGUCCUGGUUGGCUAGUAGGAGUAAUGGGUAUUUUAGGCCCCUUUUGUGCUUUAGCCAAGGCCAACUGCAUCUCAUUCAUUUCCAGCUUCAUCUUUUCCAUUUAAUCCAUGACAUCAUUCAGCAUUUGACUCAUCAUUUUUUCCGACUUAACACUAUUGUCCGACCCAGUCAUGCUUUUUGGUAUGGGACCUUUUGAUCUUGUCUGAUAAUGGCGCGAUGCCAGUACGCUCUAACAAACUAACUGGAUUAAUUGAUUGGAAAAACAACAAACUUGUUAGCGUUAGAGUUUCAACAGAUAUCGCAAGUGUACAUUGGGGAUGCAAUGUCUUUAGGCAGUAAACCAUUUCUAAUAUGCUUUUUCUCAGACCGCAUGCAUCAUCCCGACUUUUUUUAUUUGUGCCAUUUUCAAGCGUUUCAAACCCUCCAUUCUUCUCUCUCUUUCUUUUCCUCUCAUACUUUCUUUUAUCACUUUCUCUUUUUUACGAUUAGCAGAGGUCGAAUCUUAUGUAGAUUGCCUACGUAUCAUGUCCUCGCAUGAAUCAGACCCAGUGUAGUUCAUGAAAAUGAAUGCGAAAAUAAAAUGAAAACAAUUUUUGGGAAUUUUCAAAUUUUCAUUACUACCACAAUUUAAACAUUUUGGAAAGGAAAUGACAGACACAAAAUAAGACCAAAUACCAACUUCAAACUACAGACUUAUUUUGACAUGGACAAACAGCCUUGAAAUAGAAAAAGAUACAGACACCGUCUACACAUACUUUAAUAACUCAAACCUAGGUGUCCGCGGGGCGUCAUUCGGCCUCGACGUGGACCUGGGUUCCAAAUUGUGUUCAAGCUGCUCUAAUUCAAGCAAAGUUUGUUUGACCAAGAUUACUACAGUUGGGACAAAGAUAGUAACAGUCAUAUCUUCACACACCCGACAUCUUCUCAAAAUGGCAUGAGCAAUGGCUCUGAUCCUGUCUUUGGCUCGCUUCUUUUCUAUGAGAAGACGUCUUAUCUAGUUACUGCAUGUUUUUAUGGCCUGGAAUCUUGCAGGUGUUGAUCCUGCAAUUGUUGCACUUCCGCCUCCAUUUUGGCCAAUAAGUCAUAACAAUGCCCACUUUACACGUCAAAGUCUUUGGCCUACUCGACCAUUUUUCCUUCGAGGGUGACCAAUUUUCUUUUCAAAUCGGCCACAAUCUUCUCAUGAUCCCAUUUCAGUUGGUUCAAAUACUGGCGACACUCUUCUGUCUUGGUAUCCCAUUGUGCCUUGAACUUUGCCAUGACGUUCUUAGAUCUUUCCAAUUCUCCCCGACACCCGUUGACCUCAUUUCCAAGUUCUUUAUGCAUCUCUCAUCUGACAUACUUCUUUGUUGAUUAUUGGCAGGUACCUUCAUUUGCUGUAUUUGAUCCUUGAGCAUCUCAUUUCUCGGGCCAGCCGAUUCUUUUCACUUUGGUCCGCCGCAGCUUGCACACUGUUCUCGAAGAUCAAACUCGCAAUUUGUUGCUUCAAUUUACCAAUUUCAGCCCGAUUGUUUCUUCCUUUGCCAACCGGCCCUAUUGUUCUUGUGAGUCAUUCGUAAAUUGCUGAACAUGGGCUCUUUUGGCAGGUCUCUAAUUCUUGAACCUUUUUCCAAACCAAGCAUUGUACUUCGGAUCUACUUCUCCUUUAGCUCGUUCUCGAACUAUGGGUUUUUAUUCAAGAAAUUUACACCCAUUCCAUAACUUUCAAACUUCCUUUUCGGGAAAUGAGGCUCUUGGACUUAUCUCAAUAGCAUGCUUGCUUAUAUCCAUGUCGGUGGGGAUUGUCUGAAACUUUCCCAGCUGGCGCAAUACUCUAUGAGGAACAUAGGGCUAGAUACUGCAAACUCCCAUCAAAAGAAUAUAACAUUCUUCGGUCGCCAUAUGUAUUACCUCGGAAUCAGGAAACCAUCCAAAUGCCCAUUCAAAUUGAUUAUCCAUCACUGACCUCAAUCGUGCAAACCACGCCUCGACAUCUUCAGGGAAUUCAACGCCUGCUACCCGCUUCUCAAAACCACUGAUGCAGUUUCUUCCAAUUAGCCCAUGAUUCAUGUAUCCCACCCGAUGACAGAGAUGUUCCUGUAUCCAUAGCUGGAGUAAAAGAUUACAACCCUGGAAAAAAUCACCACCCUCUCGACACACAGCUAAGGCUCAGUAUAUUUCACAUAACACCAAAGGGACCACAAUACUGUUAGGCAUUUUGAUUGUAACGUCGGCCAUCCCUACAAGGCCUAUCUCUAUUUUCUUAUCUUUGCGAGGACAAACCACGACUCACAGGAACACCGUCAGGAAUGCCAAAGUACAUUUUGCCUCCCAUUUGUUUCUGUCCCCAUUAUGAGUUAAUCCGAGAUUUGGUUCUUUUAAACCGUGAGGAGUACCAUACCGUUGAUAUAAGAAUUGAAGAUCACAAUAGCCUUUUGACAGAUCGUCAUUUUGCACCUUUCGACUAAUGUUUAACAAAUUCAAAAAUCUGUGCGGAGACAUCGGUCUAGGUGAAAGCAAAUAUUGUCCCCUUAAUUCUGCAUCCAAACCUGCAUAACCCGCAACCUCUUCUAAUGUAGGUGUAAGCUCAAAGUCUAUAAAUCAGAAUACGUUAAAGUUUGGAUCCCAGAAUGGUAUCAAAGCUUCGAUGAUGUCCGUCCUUGGCUUGAUAUCCAACAGAUCGAUGAGACCUCCCAAAAUUCUUCCCACUAUCUUUUUACUUUCAUCUCCUAAAUCAUUCCACCACAUGUGGAGUUGCAGAGGUACCUCGCUAAAGACUGAGACUGGUUCAACUUGAUUUGUGCUCAUUCUGCACAUUUAUUAUGGUGAUUAAGCAAAAGAAAAACUUUUAUUUUACUCAAAAUAAAACUAUCUAUAUUUUCUCCAAGUUAAUUUUUUUUAUUUUCAAAAUACUUGUUUACAACUCUAGAACUUAGACAUAUUACAUAACGGGACGUACACAUUUCUACAGAUAAACAGACACAAAACACUGAUAUUUUUUUUUAAAAAAAACAUCCUAACUACUUGAUCCUAGAAGGACCUUCCCCAGAUUCGGUAUUCUUGCUUACUUCAUACAGUUGUAUCAACUCGUGUAACCCUAGUAGCAAGUAAUCUCGGGCCAGAGGUCCACGCUUAUUGUCCUUGGCAUUCUGACAUUUGUCAAUUUUCUUUAGGAACUUAUCCCCUAGUUCUACUAUGCCUCAUUUCAAAUACCCUAAUCGGUGAUUGGCUUUGAUGGCCAUAGCCUUCCAUGCAUUGAUCAGCCUUUCAUGGGCUUCCACUAUCUCAUGCUGUUCCUUCUCACAUUCGCGCAUUCUUUCGAGCAAUCAUUCAUAUCCAACACUUGUUGCGGCUUCACCAUUGAUAAACCCCUACCUACGGCGAAAUCCAGGGCGAAACGGACCCAUGUGGUCAUUCUCUAACCAACCUACGUAGUGUGGCACACAUCCUGCCUGGUACCCAUUUGGUUCGAGGGAUUCUUCUCUUAGGACGACCCUUCAAUACCAUAUUCGCUGAGCUUAACACCAGUAUGGGCUGGCGUUAACCCCGAAAUGGCUCAUUUUACAAACCCUUCUGCUUCCUCACUGCUUGCCUCAUGGCUCGAAGAGGGACGUAAGGGUAUCUCGAGAUUGGAUAAUAAAUUCCCAUGUUGGGAACCACUCGAGCAUGCACUACACCCGUUCUUCUCUCAGAUUUUCAAACAACUCCACCCAUUCACUGGCGUUUCUCGGCUGGGCAAUCACAUUGGGCAUUCGGUUUGGAUGGUGAAAGGCAAUGCGUACAUCCCACUCUCUUUGUAUGAUAUCUUGCCUAUAGUCACCCUUUUGCAAGUGUUCUAACAACCAAGGUUGAAAAAUAUGUUACACCCUUCAAAGUAUGUGGCCCCUCGUUGACAUUUUUCUAAGGCUCGGUAUAUAUCGGCGAUGACCAUGGCCACUAUACUGAAAUUCUGCCCGUCAAUGCCUUCCACUAAGGCCUUGGUUACCGCGGCUAGUCUGGUGUGGACCCUAACCUUCUUCAUGGGGAACACUAUCAUGCCCAGGAAACAGAGUGUGAAAGCAAAAGCCCUCAUGUCUGCAUGCUCUUGAGAUGUGAUGGUAAAUUCUUCGGAGUAAGCAUGGUAGGACCCGCUAUGGUCGAACCUUUCAUAUAAGAAGUCGAAAGGUACGUAGGAAUCCUUUGACAGGUAAGUUUAGGGUUCUUCUUGAGCCCCAAUAUUCUGAGGAAACCUCUGCCAUUGCGAUUUUCUGGCAUAAGUAGGCCCGAAGUCUGCCAUAGAAUCCCAGCUAUACCUCCUAUCUCUUCUAGUAGCGUAGUCAUUUCGAGAUCCCCGAAACGAAAAACAGCUCGGUCGCAGUCCCAGAAUAAAGUAACGACCUUAAUGAUUCUGUUGUCUGGCCGGACUUUCAGAAGCGAAGGGAGAUCCCCUAGCUGCCCGCAGACGAAGGCAUGGUCACCAUCAUGGAGAUUCUCCCACCAGCUUACCAUCCUUGGGUGAAUGUUGGAUACCAUACCGAAUCUUGGGAUUUCGAGAUUCAUUCUGUACAUUUGUUGAAGUGGUUUUAAGCAAAGGCGAGCUAUACUGGACUCAAAAUGGACCUAAAAUUUUCAAAAUUCAAAUAAAACAAAAGACUCAACUUGAACACGGCCUUUCAACGCCUCGUGGGCGGAGAAUUUUCAAGGCUUUGCCGACUAAAAUUCUUAAAGGCGGCCGUUCAUACCAAGUUAGCCUUUCGGCAUCCCAUUCAUGAACAUUCGGCUAUUAUGAUAAAACAGCGUCACCUAACGUACGCAGAAAAUUAUUUUUCAAAAACACAAUCCGCCAUUGCGGUUAUGGCCUUUUAGAGCCUCGAGGACGAGGGUUUAAGGCUGCAGGGGCUAAUUUGGUAAAAAAUCCAAUAACGACCAAAAGUGGCUAUUUGCGUAAAAUUAGCCUUCCGGCGCCCCUUUAGGGAACAUUCAGCUAUAUUCGACAAACAGUCUAGCCUGACUCUAAAAAUCAACAUGUUUUGGUUAUUUUUUGUAAAAGGACAGUUGGACCCUAUGAGGGUUGCCUACGUAUCUCACCCCUUGUGAGAAUCAAACUGACGUAGUUGGGGGAAAUAAACUAACUAAAAUUUUAAAACGAAAUUCUUUUUUCAAGCCUUUCCAUUUUUGAAAUCCCUUUUUUUCCAACAAUUUUCCAAGACUCUUUUUCGAUUUUACAUAUAAAUUAUUUUUCUUCUUUUUUAAAACUAAUCAGUUAACUCUCUGACUCAUUCCAUUUUUUUCUCAUUUUCUAACUUUUCCGAGAUUUAGAAAGCCGGUCCACAUGCAGGUCAAAACAAAUAGAUGCACAAAAAACAAGUAGGAUGUGUCAGGAUGGUCUUCUCCAUUUCAGGUUGCUAAUCCUAAACGGAUCCAACCCCUGUGUUGAGUCCCCUAAGUCAAUAUGCACGUGAUGCAGAUAAGAAUUUCUACUAAGGAUCCGGCAUGAAGUUGAGUUAUUCUAGGUUCAAAACCUGGGUGUUUGUUCUAGACAUGGAUUACCCGAGCGGACAACUCGAGCCGAGGAGGAGGCGGCAAUCCGGGAAUACAGAAGCUUCACCGGCUUUGCGACUUAUCCAAACCUCGUUCUAAAUUGGGAUUUGACACUAGACAGAAAAGAAGUCGUACACUAUACAACCUUCUUCACAAUUCAGAAAACUCAUAUAGGAGAUUUGGUUAGGCACAGUUUAUAUAUAGUUCAUGUAAUAUCAAAGCGGUAAAAGCAAUCAAUUAUCACAUUAAGCACAUAUCAUGUAACAUAAUCAAAUAAAGCCAAACACAACAAUUAUUUUAAGCUCAAAUUCUGAACACGUACACCCUUAUUCAAAAUUCAGAAGACUCAGAGAGGAGAUUUGGUUCGGCACAGUUUAUAUACAAUUCACGUAAUAUCAAAGCGGUAAAAGCAAUCAAUUAACACAUCAUGUAACAAAAUCAGAUAAAGUCAAACACAACAAAUAUUCUAAGCUCGAAUUCUGAACCCUGAGCCAUAGAUUCUGGGUUCGAUCCCCAGCAGAGUCGCCAGAGCUGUCACACCUCCUUUUUCACUAUACACCCCUGCAAAAGGGGCGUAAAGGUGUUUUUUCAAUAAAGGACAAGCGGAACGAGAUUUGGUUAUUAAAGAUUCAGAGUCGUCACUUGGGAUAUGAAUGGUGUCCCAAGUCACCGACUGAAUCCUGAACCGAGGAAAAUAUGACUCUGUUACAGUCUGCAAACAAGAAAUCCGGAUAAGGAAUUCUGUUAACCCGGGAGAAGGUGUUAGGCAUUCUCGGGUUCCGUGGUUCUAGCUUGACUCUGUAAUACAGUCUGCGAGCCAGAAAUCCAGGUAUUGAAUUCUGUUAACCCGGGAGAAGGUGUUUGUCAUUCUUGAGUUCCGAGGUUCUAGCACGGUCGCUCAACUGUUGCAUUUAGCAAUUAUCGGAUUUAUUACAUGAAGAGCCUAUGUGUCAAUUUUUACUUUUUACCGCUUUUAUUUAAUAAGAUAUUUCUUAAAGCAAGUGAACGUCGUUUAAAAUGUGUUUUUGGAUUGCGCCGCAUCAAAUGAACCCCCAAUCCUAGACACACUCUAUUCAACGUUUUAGGAUUUAAAUUUGGGCCGCAUAAAAUGCCCACCCAUAUUUAGGAAGGUAAGAUUAUUAAAAUACGCACUUAAAGAGUCUAGUGCAUUAUUAUCUUUUGGGAGGGUCGUGAAAUUCGCUAAACGACCCUUCCCGAAUUUUCUAAAUAUUUUAAGCCUUUAUUGAGGGCCCUGAAAUUUGCAUUUAAUUGGGAGAAGAUCGUCUCAUUUUUAUAAAGUGAUUACAUUUCUGUUUGAAUUCGUUUCUGAAGUAAAGAAAGAAAAGUCCUAAUUUAUUUACAUGCUUGGCGAGGCCAAAGCUUAUUUAUCGGAUGAAGACAAAUGCAAACGAAAAUUGCAAUAGAGCUUGCGCAAAGAGAGAUUAUUUCGUACCUUAUUCUAUAAGCGAAUAUCAUUAAAAUUGGAGUUAUAAACAGAAUAUGGAAUUGAAAAAUAAUAUUUAUCAAAACAAACUAAUUAUUCUCUAGUUAGUCUAAAUUACCAUCAUUGGAUGCAUUGGGCUAUUUGGAAUUAACCACAUGAUUUUAGAACAGUUUGGGCCUAGUGAUACUUAAAGCAAUAAUGGCGUUGGACCCAUAAUAGGCCCGCUUCUACUUAAAGCAAUAAUGUCGUUUGACCCAUAAUUGGCCCGCUUGUACUAUCCAGAUUGUCCAGGCAUAACUAUCAGAUAGAUUGAAAUUUGUUUACCUAUUUUAAGCUCAAAUUAAUAUCAGCACACGAACUCUUUAAUAACUUAAUAAACUAACAAAUUUCAAGGCGAGUUGUAAUUAAAUUUAAAGGAUCCCAACCUGUCUUAUUUUACCAAACCAUAACUAUUUCUGAUUAACAUGCUACUAUUAAAUUUUUGAUUCCACGAGCUAACAUUACUAGGCAUAAUACUCAUAAUUAACUUUAAUGAUUCAUAAACUUAUAACUAAUUUCAGAAUACUAGAACUAACAUGAAGAAGACAAACUAAACGGAGGCUAACAUUAUCAAUUCAUUAUAGCCCCAAACAAACAAGGAUUUGAACUACACUAUACCAUACUAAUAUUGAGAAAUAGAUGAACAAUUCUAAGUUUAAAAGUCCAGACGAUCCAGAUUAAUCUAAUUAUACAGUCUAGGGAUUAUGUAAAUACAAAUCGAAAUUAACUUACAAAAAUGCAUAUCAAUUACUAUCUACUCAGAUACUGCUACAUAACAGUUUCAAACAAACACAUUUCAAGAAGCAAACGGACGAACACUUUAUUUCAUCUUUUCACCUCAAAGCUACAUCAAAUCAGGUUCGAAUGUGUAUCUGGAUGAUAGAAACAGAAGAAAAAGGAACGAUCAGCAAUAACAGUAACUAAUGCAGCAACAGCAAGACAAUAACAACCAACAACUUGAAAAUGACCCGAGAUAGCAGCAGAAGGACCAAAAUGUGGCCCAGGAAUGAAAUAGAAAAGUAAACUUAACCCACAGCAAAUACCAGUAGCCAAACACACAGGUAGCACCUUAAGAAAAUAGUAAAACUUCCAGAAAUACCAACAGUAACACAAACACCCGUAAUAAGACCAAAGAACUUGAGUUUAAACCAGAGAUAGACCAAUAGACUUCAGCAGUAUAUUCAGCAAGCAAUAGGAAGUAGGAAUCAAUGUUUACGACUCCAAAUUCAGUUUCCCCCUUUUUUCCAACUCUUAUGUUCUUUUUAAAUGGAUUCCUUUUUUUCUUAACUCUCAAUUUUCAGAUUGUUCCCCCCUUUCAAAACUAAAACUGAUCUUUUAUACUAAAACUUAAACCCCGUUUUAGUACCUAAGUGGACAACCCACUAAUAUUUUUUAAUUCCUUAGUGUCCUCUCCACUAGAUCUUGUUAUUAACUUUAUUCAAUCCCUUUUCUUAGUGCACAUUUCAACCCCCUUAAAUCACUCCUGGAUCCCCAUUAUUCAAUACUUUAGAGAUAUUUAACUACCCGACUAUCAGAUUCACUAACAUUAAACAAAUCCUUCACUGUUUUGUUCCUAAAUCACCCCUGAAAUCCCUUGAAACUACUGCCUUAGCCCAAUCUGUUCAAACUUAAUAAUUAUCUAAAACUAAUUUAAUUAACAGCUAUAACAAAUUCUUAAACGAUUUCUGAUUCAACUUAAACUAAAAGAAUCUGAAAUUAAAACUCAACCAGGCUACAUCUAAAUCACAACCUAUCACAUUAAAUUAUCAAAGCCAUGAUUGACAGAACUACAAGGAGCAAAAAUCCAAAAUAUGAACAAAAUAUAAUACAAAUAUACUAGAAUAGCCAUAAUUCAUACAAUUACUAUUACUACUGUCAGGGUUUGAAUCAUUCACAUCUAAAAGACUAAUUGACAAUAUUUAAUUAAUCGAUCACACAUAAUUGGUAACACAUAAGCAGAAUCAAAGAUACAAACAUGCACACGUUAUUUCAGUGACAUUUGGCAGAAACAGUGAGUUGUGACACAAAUAACUGAUCGGCGACAUUAAUAGUAUCGACUUUAUGAUCUUACAACAACACACAAUCAGAUAGCAAGCAAAUAGAAUAAAAAUAGGAUAAUUGGGUGAUUCAUGUGGUUUUGGAUAGAAUAAGGCACUUAUGAGACUUAACUGUUCAACGACAUUAUUCAUCGAACGCAUAGUUUAUCAUACAUACUUUAACAAUGAUCAGAAGAAAAUUUUGACCAAAUAAAAGGUCAUACGGAGAAGAAACAGAAAAGCAGUCGAUAAAAUAAAAAAUAAUACAACUAAACUAAACAAAUAUUUACAACAAAUAACAACAAAGAAAAUAGAAAAAGAAAAUAGAAAAAGAAAAUACCUCAGAAACUUUCAGAAACAAACAACCUUGGCUUGAAUCCAAACUCGAACUAUUUGAGGUUGUACGGACCUUAAUCGGGGUGUUCUCAAUUGAGAGCACCUAGAUUAAGGUCUAUUAGACCUCAAUCUCCUAUUGAUUUUUAACCGAACCUCAAUUUUGGAUUUCUAGGGUUCACGCGGAUGAUUUGGGAAUUUGGGUUUUCUGGUUGGAUUCGAUUCAAAUCAAUGAUGAUUUGGUGAUUAGGAAGGUUAGGGGGUGCCGUGGUGUGAAUUUGGAAAGGAUUGGGGGUAAGUUUCCAUUUGGCUCGAAUCUUCAAGUAAAGAUUUGAGAUGCUCUGAAAAGAUUCGAGCAAAAUGGUUUGCAGCUCCAUGUUUGGGGUGGCUAGACGGUCACAGGGUGUUAGUUUGGGAUUCAUUGGUCUGGGUCUGGUUUUGACUCAGAUCUUCAAAUAAAGAUUCGAGAUAUUUGGGGAGGAUUCGAAGAGAAAGGGUUAUGAAUUCAUGGAGGGGAUGGUCUGGGGAUUCAGGUGUGUUAAUUUGGAGGUGGACGGAGUUCAGACCGCCGGGAUUAAUGGUGGAGUAUAAGGGGGAGGUGCUAAGGUUUACUGAGGGAGGGGUCUGUCUCUGAGAGAGACGAUGAACAGGGAGGUCCGGUU